ACUCUCCCAACUUUGCCUCAAGUACUGCAGCAUGGAUAUUAUAGUCAUGAAAUGAAUGUCCCUGGGAAGAAAACAGAUAUACUCAGUAACCUACCCUAUGGCACUGAGCUUUGUAUUACAAAGAGCAGGAGAGAAUGAGGAACUUUGCAAAGGGUGUUUAUGAAUAGCUGCUAUGCAAACUAGAAAAAACAAGUCAUCUGAGAAAGAGAAGGAACAUUGACUGCUUUGACAACUGCCUUACCAUUGCUAAGGAAACCGCUCCCUUGGUAACCAUGCCACUGGCAGGUCAACUAACAAGAGAAGAAUGACUGGCAACAGGCUAGAAACUACAAUGGGCUGGCGUGUUUACAGCUCCAUCAACAGCUCAGUGUUAAUGAACUGAGUCUUAAAAUUACCUCUCUAUUGAUGAUGGCUUGAAUGUAGCACAUGUAUUUAAAGGAGGCAGUCAAAGUCCUAUAAACCACAAUCCACCCCCCAACUGCACUACUCUCGUUUUGCUACCUUCACGACUGGCAAGGAUCUCAGCGUUACAACUCAAAUGCCCUGGGGUUGCCUGUUAAUGCAACAAGAUGAGGAUGGGAAAUACGUACGAGUAAACCCGGUGGUGUCGAUGAUGCUUUGGCUGAAUGAAAUGGGAACAGACUGGAGAAGAGUCUCUGGAGGAUAUCGGGCUAGGACUUCCUGUUUACCAGUGAGAUAGGCCAGAAGCUUUUCCAGACUGGCUUCAUUUUCUUCAUCAAGGCACAAGCUACAGUUUCUUGGGGACUCUUAGAGCAGUAUUGCUGCAUGCAUUUUAAUCUGUGAUGUAGGCAUCUCAUGCAAAGAUCUGCUUUCUUCAAAGUCCGUGGCACCUAACCGCACACCACUCUCAGUGAUGUCCUGUAGAUACAUUUUUUAUGAUGUUUAGGGGCAGCUUUCUUGGGUAGGGGAGCUUUCACUGCUCCAGGAAUAGUCUAGUUAUACAACACAGUUACUUAUCAGACUAGUUCAGGGGUGGGCAAUUAUUUUGGGCAGAGAGCCACUUACUGAGUUUUGGCAAGCCAUCGAGGGGUGCAUGACAGGCAGCCAGGGGCAGAUAAAUAUUAAUUUUCUAAAUUUUUUAGGGGCCCCGCGGGCCAAAUAGAAUGGCCUGGCAGGCUGCAUCCGGCCCCUGGGCCGCAUUUUGCCCACCCUUGCUCUAGCUGAAAAGGCUGUUGAAACCUACAGCUCUUAUGAGCUUUUGGUAACCAGCUGUUGAAUACUUCCCCUAAAAAUUUAGAUCAGUAAAUCCACGUUUUUGCUGGUUACAACACCCAUCCUGUUCAGAAUAAGGAAAACCAGAUUAAUUAUUUUAAGCACAAUGCCCUGGUUAUAUAGUGAAAACUGUAGUAUAUUUUAAAACAAUAGAUACCGUUUGUAAAAUAAUAAAUUUAUGAGCAAGAAAAGGUGGCCCUUUAUUUGUGAAACAAAGGCUUUUAAACAAUUUGGCGAAGCACAAAAAGUGUACCCUGUUGAAGACAGACUGUGGAAACGUUAACAUCCUUUUGAGGUAAAUCAAGUAAUGGACUGUUGGCCUAUUUUUCAAACCACUUCUCCUCAGUAACUUGACAUUUGAUAGGAUUAUCUAUUACAGUUGGAUUUUGGUUGACUCUCUGGUAUGCCUGAGAAGAUUGUCAUCUUGUGAUUUAAAGAUAAUAGAGCCAAGCAUGUGAAACUGCACACAAAGAAUAAACC